rnacentral:rRNA from 1 species
AUACGUAGGGAGCGAGCGUUGUCCGGAAUUACUGGGCGUAAAGGGCGCGUAGGCGGCGCUUCAAGUCGUCUGUCAAAUGGAAGGGCUUAACCCUUUUUCGCAGACGAAACUGGAGAGCUUGAGAAGCAGAGAGGCAAACAGAAUUCCUGAUGUAGCGGUGAAAUGCGUAGAUAUCAGGAAGAAUACCAGUGGCGAAGGCGGUUUGCUGGCUGCAUACUGACGCUGAAGCGCGAAAGCCAGGGGAGCGAACGGGAUUAGAUACCCCGGUAGUCCUGGCAGUAAACGAUGUAUGCUGGGUGUGAGACUAGCGAUAGUUUCGUGCCGAAGUUAACGCGAUAAGCAUACCGCCUGGGGAGUACGGUCGCAAGAUUGAAACUCAAAUGAAUUGGCGGGG